rfam:Myotis davidii contig32816, whole genome shotgun sequence.
AUAUUAGGGUUUUAUUAUAUAGGAUGUAUUUUUGGAAUAGGAAGAUGGAAUAGGAGCUUGCUCCAUCCACUCCAUGCAUCAACCCGGUAUUGCAGUACCUUCAGGAAUGGUGCACUAAAA